UCGGAAACUCUGAGGGGAUUAGGAAGCAACCUGUGCUCACAGUGCACAGCUCUCCUGCUUCCCCCCACCAGGAACAAUGGCAACUACCUGCAGGCUGGACCCCUCUACUCCAUUCACAGCACUUAUGUAUCGAAGAUCUGAAGGUAAGGGGAACUAAUUAUGAGUAUGAGUGAUUGAUUGUAAAUUGGUCUGUGUGUAUUGAAUUGCUGUAUUGUGUGUGUAAAUAAAGUGUGACUAUAUGUAAAGUGGUGUGAGUUUCUGCAUGAGUGACAGUGUGUGUGUGUGUUUGUGAGAGUUUAAUUGGCACUGUGAAUGUCACCGAGAGUUUGUGUGUGUGUAAGUGAAACUGUGUGUGUGUGUAACUGACAUUGUGUGUGUGUUAGUGAUUCUGUGUAAAUGACAUUAUGUAUGUCAGUGAGAUUGUGUAAGUGACACUUUGUAUGUCAGUGAGAGUGUGUGUACUAGCGAGAGUGUGUAAGUGACACUGUUUGUCAGUGUGAGUGUGUCUGUUAGUGAAA